UAAAAAAAAGAAAAGCUCCAAGUGAACAGAGUUAACUUGUUAAAUCAGAAUGGUUCUCUUUGACCCACUCUGGUCUAUUGUGUAAAUAUUUAUUUAGACUAUUUUAAUAAUACAUAUUAUUUACCCCACUGUAACAUCAUGUAAACUAAAUAUGUUUUUAAACAAUUUUUAAGACUUGUAAUUACCCUGAAAAUACGGUUUAUAAUGCAAAGCCCAGACCCUUUGUCACUCUCGGGGGCUGCCCUUCAGUCUCGUGGCUCCAAGCCACUUUCUUGCCUCCCUUUUACAGAAGCCUCUUUUCCUCCCAGUUUUUUCUCCACUGAGGGCAGACUUCAAGACAUUUUCCAGUUCCAGAUCUCUUUUUUGACAUAUUGGAUGGAAUUAAUUUACACAUGAUGGAAGAGGUUCUAAGGUGUACAGGAAAAAAGCACUUACAUUGGGGCAAGAAAUCCCAGUGACUAGCUACGGUUCAGUUUACAAAAAAACCAGCCUGCUUAUUUGGAAAGUAAUUUUCUUCCAGUAGUUGUUAAUGAUUCACUAACAAAGCAAGGGAUCCUGAGGAUUAAAUAGUUAUAAUCUCCAUAAUCCACAAGUUCCAAGAAAAAAAUAUAGGCAGAGUCUUAUCCCAUGGGUUGCUUUAAAAAUUCUUACUACACAAGUUAGGGCAUCUGCUGGAAAUAUAAUGUGAGCCACGCCGGUCAUUUUAAAUUUUCUAGUAACCGCAUUUUAAAAAGUAAAAAGAAACGAGUGAAAUUGACUUUAGUAUAUUUUAUUUAACUGGCUAUAUCAAAAAUACUAUAAUUUUCAUGUGAAAUCAACAUGAAAAGUGACAGAUAUGUAAGUCUUUGAAAUCCAGUGUCUCAAGCACAUUUCAGCUCAGACUGCCCAUAUUUCAGGUUUUCAGUAGCCACGUGUGGCUAGUGGCUGCAGGAUUGAGCAGAGGUGAUCUACACUCAUUCUUUCAAAUAAGAUACUCCAUUAGCCUCAGAGUAUGGGCAACUCCCAGUUACGCGGGUCUGUUCAUCUGGAUUUGUAGGUCCUCAGGCCUCUGAUUUAUCUUUAAUUUCUGCUUUCCGCCUUGUGGCUGCUCUAUUGAUCUUUUGCAUAUUCCCCACAGCCAGAGAAGAAAGCUGAGCUGUGUCUUUGGGAGUCUCGUGAGGAACUGCGGUAGAGUAUCCUCUGGAAGGGGAAGAGAGUCCAGUCAUUAGCCUGUCCAAGGGGGUCAUCUGUAGAUUCAAUGUCUAGUCUCUCACAGACUCGGAUAGGAGAACUUUCUCUUGAUGACACAGUGCUCUCGCCCUUCCCACAGUCAGUAGAACCUUUGUGGUAGAAUGGACUCUUGGGGCGGACCCAGAAGGCCAUUACUGCUGAUAGAAACAGCCUAGCCAAAACUCUGAACACAGUCUGGGUUUUUCUUUUAUGCCUGUGAAAAAGAAAAUAAGAGCAAGCCUCCCCCCCCCCCCCAUUUCAGUUAAGAGAAAUCCAUUCACCUAACAGCUUCUGAACCUCUUUCUGCCUCUAAAUAGAAGUAGUUGAGGUCGAUGAGGAAGGGGCUGCCUCAGGAAAAUUUGAAGCCCAAGGGAUUCUUAGAGCUGCACAGAUGUCACCUGCAUCACGGAGACCCUGGGAAUGGCCGGCAUGCUAACGGGCGUCGGUGUGAGUCCACAGCCUUUCUUUGCUUGCUGCCUCAGAAAGGGGGCCGGGUCCAGACCACCACCACCACCACCACCACCACCACCACCACCAAGUCCUUUCCUCAUGAAGCUGUGCUGCCUCAGGCUGUUUAGGGACCAUUGCCUGUCUACUGGUGAUGCGAGUGUGUCUCUUUUCUUUAGUCCCUGGGCAGUGCUUGCUUAACGCUUUUGUUGAAUCAACAAAGGGCCCGAGGCCUUAGGUUUUUUGUUAAGGUCUCUGCCCCAGGCAUGGUGCUCAAUAUCUUGGCCAAAUAAAUUACUUUCCUUGAAUAUCCAGCAAUCUUUUAGACUAAGCAAUGAGGAGUUACCACCUCACCCUCAAACUCCAACAUGACCUAUGCCUUAGUGUUGUUUUUGUUGUCUGCUUUGAUAUAAAAGCAAGAGUAUUUGGAGCAAGAGCUGCAGUACUCCAAAUACACAAUAGGCCUUUUCUUUAUCAUUCAUACAACAUUUCUGGUUUAGGUAUGUGUAGAUGGGCCAUGUUGUUUGUCCACAGGAAGAGUGUAAAGGUAUAAGAAUAAUUUUUUAGUCCUAAACGAUGUUUUGUUUACUUUCUGUCAAGAUAUUUACCAGUGUCAAAUUCAAACUAUAGUACUGUGUAAUUAUGUAUAAAGUUUUUUUAUUUAUUUGAAAUUAGACUAGAUAUACAUUUUUAAAUUUAACAUCUGGCAGGACAGUGUUCUAUUAACUCAUUGAAUGUGUUUCCUUUGUCUUGUGUUAAUAAAUAUUGAUGCUUGAUUG
rnacentral:lncRNA from 1 species